rnacentral:rRNA from 1 species
UACGUAGGGCGCAAGCGUUGUCCGGAAUUAUUGGGCGUAAAGAGCUCGUAGGCGGUCUGUCGCGUCGGAUGUGAAAGCCCGGGGCUUAACCCCGGGUCUGCAUUCGAUACGGGCAGACUAGAGUGUGGUAGGGGAGAUCGGAAUUCCUGGUGUAGCGGUGAAAUGCGCAGAUAUCGGGAGGAACACCGGUGGCGAAGGCGGUUCUCUGGGCCUGUACUGACGCUGAGGAGCGAAAGCGUGGGGAGCGAACAGG